rnacentral:rRNA from 1 species
UACGGGGGGGGCAAGCGUUGUUCGGAAUUACUGGGCGUAAAGGGCUCGUAGGCGGCCAACUAAGUCAGACGUGAAAUCCCUCGGCUUAACCGGGGAACUGCGUCUGAUACUGGAUGGCUUGAGGUUGGGAGAGGGAUGCGGAAUUCCAGGUGUAGCGGUGAAAUGCGUAGAUAUCCGGAAGAACACCAAAGGCGAAGGCAGCAUCCUGGGAAGUACCUGACGCUCAGAUGCGAAAGCCAGGGGAGCGAACGGG